ensembl:lncRNA
GUGGCUUUAAUGUUGAGCUGGUGCCGUCUCUGAUUGGUGGAGCAUGUUGAGGUGGUGCAGCCUCUGAUUGGUAGAGCAUGUUGAGGUCUCUGAUUGGUAGAGCAUGUUGAGGUGGGUAACUGCAGUCUCUGAUUGGUAGAGCAUGUUGAGGUGGUUCAGUCUCUGAUUGGUGGAGCAUGUUGAGGUCCCUGAUUGGUGGAGCAUGUUGAGGUCUCUGAUUGGUGGAGCAUGUUGAGGUCUCUGAUUGGUGGAGCAUGUUGAGGUGGGUAACUGCAGUCUCUGAUUGGUGGAGCAUGUUGAGGUGGGUAACUGCAGUCUCUGAUUGGUAGAGCAUGUUGAGGUGGUUCAGUCUCUGAUUGGUGGAGCAUGUUGAGGUCCCUGAUUGGUGGAGCAUGUUGAGGUCUCUGAUUGGUGGAGCAUGUUGAGGUCCCUGAUUGGUGGAGCAUGUUGAGGUCUCUGAUUGGUGGAGCAUGUUGAGGUCUCUGAUUGGUGGAGCAUGUUGAGGUGGGUAACUGCAGUCUCUGAUUGGUGGAGCAUGUUGAGGUCCCUGAUUGGUGGAGCAUGUUGAGGUCUCUGAUUGGUGGAGCAUGUUGAGGUCUCUGAUUGGUGGAGCAUGUUGAGGUGGGUAACUGCAGUCUCUGAUUGGUGGAGCAUGUUGAGGUCUCUGAUUGGUAGAGCAUGUUGUGUUGAGGUGGUGCAGCCUCUGAUUGGUAGAGUAGAGCAUGUUGUGUUGAGGUGGAGCAGCCUC